ensembl:lncRNA
ACCCCCUGACCCAUCACGCGUCUCACCUCUCUGUCUGAGCUGUGCCACUGCUGAUUGGACAGAUCCAGGGUGUUGUCAGCACGCUUCCCUAUAAACACGGCUGAUUGGCCAGAACUCUUCAGGGCCUCGGAAAACCUGAGAGAGCUACAGCAGUGUUGUUACUACAAGAGAGAAAUGAGAGCCACACUCAAACCUGAGAGAGCUACAGCAGUGUUGUUACUACGAGAGAGAAAUGAGAGACACACUCAAACCUGACAGAGCUACAGCAGUGUUGUUACUACAAGAGAGAAAUGAGAGACACACUCUAGGAGCUCCGAUGCUCAGAUCAUUUAAUAACCAUUUACACAGAGGAGUUGUCUUCAUCACCCUUUUCCAGGUGUUCUACUCUGCUAGCCAGCACCUCUCCUAAACAGGUGUUCUCCUCCCCUAGCCAGCACCUCUCCUAAACAGGUGUUCUCCUCCCCUAGCCAGCACCUCUCCUAAACAGGUGUUCUCCUCCCCUAGCCAGCACCUCUCCUAAACAGGUGUGUUUAUUUCUCCUCCAGGCUAAAACAAGAGGAACCACAUAUGGAAAAGAGGGGAAGGGUUUGUUGGUCAUACCUGUUGUUGUUGUUGUGUGUAGAUGUUGCUCUGUUGACAGGAGGCUGGUACAUGGUAGGACUCCCACCCCACAGCUCUUCACAAUACAGCUCCACUACCU